UCCUCUAGUUAAUUUUUGGAGGUAGGACCUGCCCUAUGCUUCAGUUAAUGGCCGCAGUAUCUUGACUGUGCAAAGGUAGCAUAAUAAAUUGGCCUUUAAUUAAGGUCUAGAAUGAAUGGUUUGACAAGGAAUUAGCUGUCUCACUUAGAAGGGAAUAAAUUGAAUUGUUUGUAAAAAUGCGGACAUAUCAGAGAGGGACGAAAAGACCCUGUAGAUCUUUAAAUUUUUUAGUCUUAUGACGGUCUAGAAAAUUUUUAUUUGGGAUGAAUCUAAAAUCAUAGAACUUGAGUUAAUUUUAUAAAAACAAAGUUGUUAAAUAUUGAUCCACGACAUAAGUGAUAACAUGAAAAAGAUACCUUAGGGAUAACAGGACAAUAAUACCUUGAAAGACCGUAUUUCAAAGGAUGAUUGUUACCUCGAUGUUGAAUUAAGAGUGCCUCGACUUGCAGCAAGGUUGUGGGCUGGUCUGUUCGACCAACAAUUUC
rnacentral:rRNA from 1 species